CCCCGCUCUACCCCACCAGACCCACUCGCCUCCCAGAGCCGGGGGAGAACCCAGGCAUCCGGGCUCCCCGCUGCGUGCCGUGACCACACCCCGUGUCUCCGAAGGCGCCGGCUGUCGGGGAGAUCCGGUGGGAGGACACUGGCUGAGCUCACCAGGACCCUGGAGGACGCCAAGGCGGCGCUGGAGCGACUGAGCACAGAGUGCUGCUCCCUGCAGGG